AGUGAACGCUGGCGGUAGGCCUAACACAUGCAAGUCGAACGGCAGCACAGGAGAGCUUGCUCCCUGGGUGGCGAGUGGCGGACGGGUGAGGAAUACAUCGGAAUCUACUCUGUCGUGGGGGAUAACGUAGGGAAACUUACGCUAAUACCGCAUACGACCUACGGGUGAAAGCAGGGGACCUUCGGGCCUUGCGCGAUUGAAUGAGCCGAUGUCGGAUUAGCUGGUUGGCGGGGUAAAGGCCCACAAAGGCGACGAUCCGUAGCUGGUCUGAGAGGAGUAUCAGCCACACUGGAACAGGGACACGGUCCAGACUCCUACGGGAGGCAGCAGUGGGUAAUAUUGGACGAUGGGCGCAAGCCUGAUCCAGCCAUACCUCGUGGGUGAAGAAGGCCUUCGGGUUGUAAAGCCCUUUUGUUGGGAAAGAAAUCCAGCUGGCUAGUACCCGGUUGGGAUGACGGUACCCAAAGAAUAAGCACCGGCUAACUUCGUGCCAGCAGCCGCAGUAA
rnacentral:rRNA from 1 species